UCCGAAGAUGAAAAAAGUAAUCCGAUCCGAUCCGAAACAAUGUUUAUAAAAUCCGAUCCGAUCCGAUGCUAAAAUUCGUAAUCCGAUCCGAUCCGAACUUAAGUUGUGUACGCUGUACAGCGUGCGUUAAUUAUUAUGAACGUAUUUUUUCAUGAUCAUAAACGAUAUAUUGGAAAUAAUGAAUUUCUAGCAAAAAUAAGCAGAUACGAAUCCGAUAAAAAUUGCAGGGCGAUAUCACAUAAUUAUGCCUUAUAGCGUUCACAUUUACAGUACACAGUAACAGCAGUUUAUAUUUUAUUAGAAUUAGCAUAGAAAAAAAACCCAACUAGUCAAAAAUGUUUUAUUCAGUAUAAUAAAUCAUGAGCUUGAGCUAGGUUUACAUUUUAAAACAUCUUAACGUUUAUCACUAAUAAACCUCAUUGUCAGGCUUCAUGUGCUGUUUUUGAAUAGCCGAGGCCCGAGGGGAGAUUGGGUGGCAUAAUGGCAUUCGUUAUUCGCGAAUCGCGAUUUCGCGAGCGAGCAAAACGUUACUUUGACUUUGUAGUUUGUAUGGACUAUAUGGAUUAUGGAAUUACUUUUAUGCUCAAAGCCAUUGUGAAUUCUGAUGCCAUUUGUAACGUAAAAAGUGGAAUACAGCUGCAGAAUAUAGAACUUUCUCAAUUUGUAAAAAUAUUCGAAUAAUUCGACGUGAUACAAGAAAAAUCAAAUCCGAACCGAUCCGACAAAAACCUGCAAAAUCCGAUCCGAUCCGACAGAAACAAAACGAAAUCCGAUCCGAGUAAUUUACUGUCCGAUCGGAUUCGCACCUCUCGUGCUUAGUAUAAUUAUGGUUAUGAUCAUUUUAAAAUCACGGUUCCUACUGUAUCUGUAUGUUGUUAAAAGCAGUCAUUUUGGUAUGGGAUUUGAUAUUUUUUAUGUUUCGUUAGCCACCAAUCGUACCAAAAAUGCGGCAUGCGGGCGAUACCAGAAAUUUCGAUGAAUAUCCCGACGAAGAUUGGCAGACUGCGUUACCUGUUAGUGGAAAACAACUUGAACCAUUCAAAGAUUUCUGAGAUAUCUGUUGUGUCUAUAAAGAUGUAAGGUAUGGAAUUCAAACGUUGACUGCAAUACCGCGACAGAGCAUGGGCAAUCCCAUGAUCUAACCAUGCAUGGUCCCCCCACCGGUUAGGGGGAAGGGACAAUACUCCGGUUAGGGUCAGGUACUCGAAACAAAAAAGUGCACCUGUAUGACGAUAUACAUAAUAGAAUCAAGGAUGGCUGUAUGAUGUACAUCAUAGAAAAGAGACUAUGCUAGCUGGUUUAUUCAAAGCUAACAUAGGUGCAAUUUGUGUGCGCAUGCAUGCGGCAACAAAAUAUACUAGAUUAAUUAAAAAGUUACUUCGCUAGUUAAUGUCUAAAGCUAAAAAUGGUGGAAUGAAUUAUUAUUUUUGAUAUCGUUGUGCAUCAUACUUAAAUAAAACAAUGUAUACAACAUGUUUAGGUUUGGCAAUUUUAAUUUUUUUACAACUAAUAAAAAUAACAAAAAUAUUAAAUAGAUAGAGGAAGCUUAUAUAAAUUUUGGUGAGGUUUCAAGCCAAAGGUAUAGAUUUAAGAAAAUAUUUCUUUUCCUAAAUUUCAUUUAAUUAUCUAAAAACCGUUCCUAGCCAUUGUGUGUGCAGCAAACACUUCACGGUAUUUCUAUUACAUGUAUAUUAUUCAUUAUGAUCUUUUGCGAUUCACAUGAAGUAUGUGUGAAAAAUUGAAAAUGUUCCUGAAUCUUGUUGCUAAGUUACAUGUUUCUCCGCAACCGACAAUAUGGCGGUAUAGUUUCCGUAAUGUGGACCGUCCAACGAUGAACGUAUUUCACUGGAUGUAGCUCUUACCAUAUACAGUAAUAAGAGGAUUAAAGGCUUGAAAAUUCCGCCUUGUGGAAAACCGCCUUAAGAGCGGUUGUACAUUUACAUAUUAAUUUAUUAAUUCUGUUUUUAUUGUAUUUACAGUGAGAAAAUAUCCUGUCAGACGAGAUAAAUGUCUACUUCGGUCAAGGAGGAUUAGAGACAACGCAAGAAAUGUGACCAUUUGGUCGGACCAAACUAUUAGCGAGCUUAAGGUACGUUUACACGCUGCGAUUUGUCGGGCCGAUUUUGCUCGCUGUAUGUAAAUAACCUGUCGUGAGUACUCGCGUCAGCACCUUGCGAUUCACAAAAUCGGGAGAAAAAUCUGUAACACUAACACAGAUUUUUCUCACGAUUCAACGAUUUUUCUUCCGUUGUAAAGUUGUUGAAAACUUUUCGCACGCAGAAAACUAUAAUAUGAACAGACGAAAGAGCGGACAGCUUCAAUUGAACGUUUAAAUCGCUCAAUGUCGAAGAAGGGGCAUCGAUUAUUUACCAAAAUCGGCCCGACAAAUCGCAGCGUGUAAACGUAGCUUAAGCAAGCGACGUUUUUGUCAACACGGACGACAGAUUACCGAGGGGGGGGGACUGGAUUAAAAACUGUGUUUCUGUCAUUCUGUGGUCAUCGUCAGCACAUAACUUUUUUUGUUUCCUUACACGAGUGCUAUGGUGCAAAAUGCCGCCAAAAUUAGUUAUACCAAUUUCCGGGUGACAAAAACAGGUGUUGACAAAAACGUCGCUUGUUUAAGCCUGGCGCACACGAUGCGAUUUUAAUCGGACAACAUCAAAACAUUUUGAUGAUAUACGAUUUUUAUCGGUGGAAUUUUAAGUAUAACCAAUCAGAUUUCAUGCUGUGAUCACGUGCUUGUAUUUAUUUGGCAACAUGGCGGCUACAGUUCAGGGAGCGUAUUUUUUUCGUAAUCGUGUGCGGAGUAUACCGAUGUAUAUCGGUAUGUCAAACGAUUUUUAUUGGCCGACUAAAAUCGCAUCGUGUGCGCCUGGCUUUAAGCUCACUAAUAUCGUUGUCGGAGCCGCUGUAAAUGUUAUGAACAAUUUUUGCACAGUCAAUUUGAAUAACGCAUAGAUAUUUUUAUAUAGCUAGGAAUAACGAAAUACCUGCACAAUUGUAAUAUUUUUUAAAUUUUGAAAAAUGUUUUUAUAGCACUUUAAUUGUGUAUUAGAUAUUCAUGUUCAUGAGUUGC